rnacentral:rRNA from 1 species
AACACAUGCAAGUCGAACGAGUUCAAUGCGAAGAACGAGGGCGACCUAGUGGCGAACGGGUGCGUAACACGUGAGGAACCUAUCCCAGUCUCUGGAAUAACAAGUGGAAACACUUGCUAAUACCAGAUGCCGUUGGAACACCGCAUGGUGAACCAACGAAAGAUUUAUCGGUCUGGGAGGGCCUCGCGGCCUAUCAGCUAGUUGGUGAGGUAACGGCUCACCAAGGCGUCGACGGGUAGCUGGUCUGAGAGGAUGAUCAGCCACACUGGGACUGAGACACGGCCCAGACUCCUACGGGAGGCAGCAGUGGGGAAUCUUGCACAAUGGGCGAAAGCCUGAUGCAGCAACGCCGCGUGCGGGAAGAAGGCCUUAGGGUUGUAAACCGCUUUCAGCAGGGAAGAAAAUGACGGUACCUGUAGAAGAAG